rnacentral:rRNA from 1 species
GGGGGGGGGGGGGGGGGGGGGGGGCGGGGGCGGGUGGGGGGGGGGCGUCGGGUCUGGUGGCGCGCGGGGGCGGAACGCGUGGGGACCUGCCCUUAGGUUCGGAAGCAGUCCCCGAGAGGGGUGCUAGUACCGGAUAAUGUCUUCGGACCAAAGCUUUAUCGCCUUUGGAUGGGCCCGCGUUGGCUUAGCUAGUUGGUAGGGUAAAAGCCUACCAAGGCGACGAUCCAUAGCUGGUCUGAGAGGAUGAUCAGCCACACUGGGACUGAGACACGGCCCAGACUCCUACGGGAGGCAGCAGUGGGGAAUAUUGGACAAUGGGCGAAAGCCUGAUCCAGCAAUGCCGCGUGAGUGAUGAAGGCCUUAGGGUUGUAAAGCUCUUUUACCCGGGAUGAUAAUGACAGUACCGGGAGAAUAAGCUCCGGCUAACUCCGUG